rnacentral:rRNA from 1 species
AUUGAACGCUGGCGGCAGGCUUAACACAUGCAAGUCGAGCGAGCGGCGGACGGGUGAGUAAUGUCUGGGAACCUGCCCAAUGGAGGGGGAUAACUACUGGAAACGGUAGCUAAUACCGCAUACCAUCAGAGCUGCCCAUAUGGGCUUAGCUAGUAGGUGGGGUAAUGGCUCACCUAGGCGACGAUCCCUAGCUGGUCUGAGAGGAUGACCAGCCACACUGGGACUGAGACAAGGUCCAGACUCCUCCGGGAGGCAGCAGUGGGGAAUAUUGCACAAUGGGCGCAAGCCUGAUGCAGCAAUGCCGCGUGUGUGAAGAAGGCCUUCGGGUUGUAAAGCACUUUCAGCGAGGAGGCGUUACUCGCAGAAGAAGCACCGGCUAACUCCGUGCCAGCAGCCGCGGUAAUAC